rnacentral:rRNA from 1 species
UACGGGGGGGGCAAGCGUUGUUCGGAAUUACUGGGCGUAAAGGGCUCGUAGGUUGCCAACUAAGUCGGACGUGAAAUCCCUCAGCUUAACUGGGGAACUGCGUCCAAUACUGGAUGGCUUGAGUUUGGGAGAGGGAUGCGGAAUUCCAGGUGUAGCGGUGAAAUGCGUAGAUAUCUGGAGGAACACCGGUGGCGAAGGCGGCAUCCUGGACCAACACUGACACUGAGGAGCGAAAGCCAGGGGAGCAAACGGG